rnacentral:rRNA from 1 species
CCUACGGGUGGCUGCAGUGGGGAAUAUUGGACAAUGGGGGGAACCCUGAUCCAGCCAUGCCGCGUGUGUGAAGAAGGCCCUCGGGUUGUAAAGCACUUUCAGUGAGGAAGAACGCCUGGUGGUUAAUACCCAUCAGGAAAGACAUCACUCACAGAAGAAGCACCGGCUAACUCCGUGCCAGCAGCCGCGGUAAUACGGAGGGUGCGAGCGUUAAUCGGAAUUACUGGGCGUAAAGCGCGCGUAGGUGGCUUGAUAAGCCGGUUGUGAAAGCCCCGGGCUCAACCUGGGAACGGCAUCCGGAACUGUCAAGCUAGAGUGCAGGAGAGGAAGGUAGAAUUCCCGGUGUAGCGGUGAAAUGCGUAGAGAUCGGGAGGAAUACCAGUGGCGAAGGUGGCCUUCUGGACUGACACUGACACUGAGGUGCGAAAGCGUGGGUAGCAAACAGGAUUAGAUACCCGAGUAGUC